UCACAUUAUAUAAAGCCGGCAAGCAACUUGCUAAUUUUCAAACCAAUUUCAAACGUUGUAGCAUUUCUGAAGCUGCUAGCAAAAAGGUGAACCCUAUCGCAAUUGUAGGUGUUAUUAAAAAACAAAGCAAAAUGCCGUAUGAACCAUCGUCCACAAAAGAAACAAGCAAACCGAGUGGAUGCAGCACUUGUUCUUCUGGAUGCAAAUGCCAGCCUGGAUGUAAAUGCCAAUGUUGCAGCGGUUCUAAAUAAAUCAUGUAUUUUUUUUAAAGUAAUCAUUUAAUAAAUAAAUAAAUCGUAAACUGUUA